rnacentral:tRNA from 1 species
GGUGGGGUGGCCGAGAGGCUAGGCAACGGCCUGCAAAGCCGUGUACGCGGGUUCGAAUCCCGUCCCCACCU